rnacentral:lncRNA from 1 species
GUGAGGGGCUGCGGAGGGAGGGAGGACGAAAAAUGAGGAUGGGAACGCGACCUAUACCUGCAACCUCUAAGAAGUUGUGAACAGUUGUGCCAAGGGGGCGGUGUCCCCUCCCACUGCGCAUCUUCCGCUGCGCAGGUGCUACUGCGCAUCUUCUAGUGCGCAUGUGCCACGGACGCUUUCUGAGCCCGCGUUUUCCAGAGCCCGCGUUUUCCAGAGCCCGCGUUCCCGUGAACCCAAGUCUAGCUUCAGGCCGGGGUCUCUUCCUAGGCCUCCUACCUGAGUCUGUGAUGCAGGUUUGAGCAUCAGUAUCUGAGACUGACACCAUCUGUCCGCGAUUCUAAGACGCCUCCAGCCCUCACAAGAGCAGCUCUCCUCUGCAAGCUGCCUGAGAAAAAAAGGAAGGAAAAAACCUGAAACCAAGAACUCAUCCAGCCGCCAGUACCUACCAUCAUCCCCAAACAGAAGUUUUUCAGGGCUCAGGUCUGGCUGCCCUGCAUUCCAGGCUUUUCCAGGCUUUUCCCACCUGGCUUCCCCACCCCAGGCGAUGCUGAUUGGGGAAAGACCAUGGCCUUCGAUGAUUGCAGACUUCGCCGUCACAGCCCAGAGGAAAGAAGUUUCCUUUUGUCAGCAUCUAUAUACACAGGUCUCUGGGGGAAUCUCAUUUGCUUUUCUUGGUGUGCAUGCCCAGACCUUGGACCCGUGGCCAUGACCAGGGUUGAUGGUUACGGUGAUUGACAGGUCCAGUGUAAUUACAGGCACUUGGGGACCCAGCAGCUCCCCAAAGAGAUGGGAGGCAUUUUACCACUCACUCAUCCAUGUACUCAUUGAAUGCUGACCACUUGUCUGCUCUGGGCCAGGCCCUCUUCUGAGUCUUGGAGUUACAGUGGUGGCAAGAAAUAAGAGUUCUCUGCCCUCAUGGAGGUUCCAUCCUGCUGAUAGUAAGGAGGAGUCACGCAGCGUCCAAAUAAUGAAAGACAACAUUGGCUGUGCUAAGUUCUGUAUUUAGCAUAAAGUAAGGCGAUACUGGGAGGGUGGCCCGGGAGUGGUCAGAAAAGGCAUCUCUGAGUAGGGCGCCUGGAAGCUGAGACCGACAUGCCAAGAAAAAGCCACCAUUCAUAGAUCUGUAGGAAGAGCAUUCUGGGCGGAUAGAGCAGCUGACUCUGUGUGUUAGAGAACAAGAGAGGCGGGAAGUGUGGCUGGAGCUCACUAAGUGAGGGAGAAGGGUAGAUGCAUCCAGGUUGGAUGGAGAGAUGGCCAGGGAGGGGUCACUGCUGAUCUUGAGAAGCAGAUGUGGUCCAAAGAUGUUUCUGGCUGCUGUGAAGGGAGGCAGGAGUGAAGACGGGAGAGGAGGCGGGAGGCUGCUACAGGUGAGGGAUGGGGUCCAGAUGGGGUUGGAAGGGGGGCAGGCAGGACCGGUGGAUGGACUGGGUGUGUGAGGGGGAAAUCAAGGAUAACACCGGGGGGUUAGGUUUUGAGCUGGGCGAACAGUGGUGUCCUUUAAGAAGAAGUGGGAGGGAGUUCCCCUCGUGACUCAGUGGUUAAUGAAUCCGACUAAGAACCAUGAGGUUGCGGGUUCGAUCCCUGGCCUUGCUCAGUGGGUUAAGGAUCCAGCAUUGCCGUGAGCUGUGGUGUAGGUCACAGACAUGGCUCGGAUCCCACGUUGCUAUGGCCCUGGCGUAGGCCGGUGGCUAUGGCUCCGAUUCAACCCC